UAAGACAGAGGGGGCAAGCGUUGCUCGGAAUCACUGGGCGUAAAGGGCGCGUAGGCGGGAUGGCAAGUCAGUCGUGAAAUCUCUCGGCUCAACCGAGAAACGUCGGCUGAUACUGCCGUUCUUGAGGGAUGCAGAGGAGACUGGAAUUCCCGGUGUAGCGGUGAAAUGUGUAGAGAUCGGGAGGAACACCGGUGGCGAAGGCGGGUCUCUGGGCAUUUCCUGACGCUGAGGCGCGAAAGCGUGGGGAGCAAACGGGAUUAGAUACCCUGGUAGUCCACGCCGUAAACGAUGGGUACUAGGUGCCUGGGGGAGCGACCCUCUGGGUGCCGGCGCUAACGCAGGAAGUACCCCGCCUGGGGAGUACGACCGCAAGGUUG
rnacentral:rRNA from 1 species